AGUGAACGCUGGCGGUAGGCCUAACACAUGCAAGUCGAACGGCAGCACAGUAAGAGCUUGCUCUUACGGGUGGCGAGUGGCGGACGGGUGAGGAAUACAUCGGAAUCUACUUUUUCGUGGGGGAUAACGUAGGGAAACAUACGCUAAUACCGCAUACGACCUACGGGUGAAAGCAGGGGAUCUUCGGACCUUGCGCGAUUGAAUGAGCCGAUGUCGGAUUAGCUAGUUGGCGGGGUAAAGGCCCACCAAGGCGACGAUCCGUAGCUGGUCUGAGAGGAUGAUCAGCCACACUGGAACUGAGACGCGGUCCAGACUCCUACGGGAGGCAGCAGUGGGGAAUAUUGGACAAUGGGCGCAAGCCUGAUCCAGCCAUACCGCGUGGGUGAAGAAGGCCUUCGGGUUGUAAAGCCCUUUUGUUGGGAAAGAAAAGCAGCAGGUUAAUACCCCGCUGUUCUGACGGUACCCAAAGAAUAAGCACCGGCUAACUUCGUG
rnacentral:rRNA from 1 species